rnacentral:rRNA from 1 species
GACGAACGCUGGCGGCGUGCUUAACACAUGCAAGUCGACAUUAGUGGCGAACGGGUGAGUAAUACGUGGGUAACCUUCCCUCCUUUUUUGGAUAAGCUUUGGAAACGGGGUCUAAUACCGAAUAAAGCGGGAUGGGCUCGCGGACUAUCAGCUUGUUGGGGGGGUUAUGGCCUACCUAGGCGCUGACGGGUAGCCGGCCUGAGAGGGUGACCGGCGACAUUGGGACUGUGAUACGGCCGAGAAGCGUACGGGAGGAAGCAGUGGGGGAUAUUGCAAAAUGGGCGAAAGCCUGAUGCAGCGGCGCUGCGUGGGGGAUGAAGGCUUUCGGGUUGUAAACCUCUUUCACAAUCAAACGGGUAGCUAGAGAAGAAGCGCCGGCUAACUACGUGCCAGCAGCCGCGGUAAUAC